rnacentral:rRNA from 1 species
GAUGAACGCUGGCGGCGUGCUUAACACAUGCAAGUCGAACGAUGAAGCCCAGCUUGCUGGGUGGAUUAGUGGCGAACGGGUGAGUAACACGUGAGCAACCUGCCCCUGACUCUGGGAUAAGCGCUGGAAACGGCGUCUAAUGCUGGAUAUGUCCCGUCACCGCAUGGUGUGCGGGUGGAAAGAUUUUUCGGUUGGGGAUGGGCUCGCGGCCUAUCAGCUUGUUGGUGAGGUAAUGGCUCACCAAGGCGUCGACGGGUAGCCGGCCUGAGAGGGGAACCGGCCACACUGUGACUGAGACACGGACCAGACUCCUACGGGAGGCAGCAGUGGGGAAUAUUGCACAAUGGGCGAAAGCCUGAUGCAGCAACGCCGCGUGAGGGAUGACGGCCUUCGGGUUGUAAACCUCUUUUAGCAGGGAAGAAGCGAAAGUGACGGUACCUGCAGAAAAAGCACCGGCUAACUACGUGCCAGCCGCCGCAGUAAGAC